rnacentral:tRNA from 1 species
GUCCCCGUAGCUCAACUGGAUAGAGUGUCGGCCUCCGAAGCCGAAGGUUGCUGGUUCGAAUCCAGCCGGGGAUA